rnacentral:rRNA from 1 species
GAUGAACGCUGGCGGCGUGCCUAAUACAUGCAAGUCGAGCGGACGGACGAGAAGUUUGCUUCUCUGCUGUUAGCGGCGGACGGGUGAGUAAUACGAGGAUAACUUACCUAUAAGACUGACAUAACUUCGGGAAACCGGAUAUAACAUCGGAUAAUAUUUUGAACCGCAUGGUUCAAAAGUGAAAGACGGUCUUGCUGAGACUAAUAGAUGGAUCCGGGUUGCAUUAGCUAGUUGGUAAGGUAACGGCCUACCAAGGCGACGAUGCGUAACUGACCUGAGAGGGUGAUCAGGCACACUGGAACUGAGAAACGGUCCCGACUCCUACGGGAGGCAGCAGUGGGGAAUAUUGGACAAUGGGGGAAAGCCCGAACCAGCCAUGCCGCGUGUGUGAAGAAGGUCUUCGGAUUGUAAAACCCUUUAUGUUGGGAGAAAGGGCAGUAAGUUAAUACCUUGCUGUUUUGACGUUACCAAAAGAAUAAGCACCGGCUAACUUCGUG